UCGGGAAUAUUGCGCAAUGGAGGAAACUCUGACGCAGUGACGCCGCGUGCAGGAAGAAGGUUUUCGGAUUGUAAACUGCUUUAGACAGGGAAGAAACAAGACAGUACCUGUAGAAUAAGCUCCGGCUAACUACGUGCCAGCAGCCGCGGUAAUACGUAGGGAGCAAGCGUUAUCCGGAUUUAUUGGGUGUAAAGGGUGCGUAGACGGGAAUGCAAGUUGGUUGUGAAAUCCCUCGGCUCAACCGAGGAAUUGCAACCAAAACUAUAUUUCUUGAGUGCUGGAGAGGAAAGUGGAAUUCCUAGUGUAGCGGUGAAAUGCGUAGAUAUUAGGAGGAACACCAGUGGCGAAGGCGACUUUCUGGACAGUAACUGACGUUGAAGCACGAAAAGUGUGGGGAGCAAAACAGGAUUAGAUACC
rnacentral:rRNA from 1 species